AUACGGAGGGUGCAAGCGUUAAUCGGAAUUACUGGGCGUAAAGCGUACGUAGGCGGUUCGUUAAGUUAGAUGUGAAAGCCCCGGGCUUAACCUGGGAACUGCAUUUAAAACUGGCGGACUAGAGGUGAGUAGAGGGGAGUGGAAUUUCAGGUGUAGCGGUGAAAUGCGUAGAGAUCUGAAGGAACACCAGUGGCGAAGGCGACUCCCUGGACUCGAACUGACGCUGAGGUACGAAAGCGUGGGUAGCAAACGGGAUUAGAAGCCCUAGUAGUCC
rnacentral:rRNA from 1 species